CCUACGGGAGGCAGCAGUAGGGAAUCUUUCACAAUGGGCGAAAGCCUGACGGAGCAACGCCGCGUGCAGGAUGAAGGCCUUCGGGUUGUAAACUGCUUUUAUAAGCGAGAAAUAUGAUGGUAACUUAUGAAUAAGGAUCGGCUCACUACUUGCCAGCAGCCGCGGUCAUACGUAGGAUCCGAGCAUUAUCCGGAGUGACUGGGGGUAAAGAGUUGCGUAGGUGGCAUAAGAAGUAGCUAGUGCAAUCUGGUGGCUCAACCAUUCAGACUAUUAGCUAAACUGUUAAGCUCGAGAGCGUUAGGGGUAAGUGGAAUUGCUAGUGUAGGAGUGAAAUCCGUAGAUAUUAGAAGGAACACCAAUAGCGUAGGCAGGUUACUGGGACGGUUCUGACACUAAGGCACGAAAGCGUAGGGAGCAAACGGGAUUAGAUACCCCUGUAGUC
rnacentral:rRNA from 1 species